AGGACGAACGCUGGCGGCGUGCCUAACACAUGCAAGUCGAACGAGGUCCAACCGGUAGCAAUACCGGUGAAGACCAAGUGGCGAACGGGUGAGUAGCACGUGAGCAACCUGCCCCGAAGACCGGGACAACACCGGGAAACCGGUGCUAAUACCGGAUAUCCCCACCGAGUCGCAUGGCUUGGUGAGGAAAUGGAUUCCGCUUCGGGGAGGGCUCGCGGCCUAUCAGCUUGUUGGUGAGGUAACGGCUCACCAAGGCUUCGACGGGUAGCUGGUCUGAGAGGACGAUCAGCCACACUGGGACUGAGACACGGCCCAGACUCCUACGGGAGGCAGCAGUGGGGAAUCUUGCACAAUGGGCGAAAGCCUGAUGCAGCAACGCCGCGUGAGGGACGAAGGCUUUCUGAGUUGUAAACCUCUUUCAGCAGGGACGAUUGUGACGGUACCUGCAGAAGAACGCCCUGGCCAACUACGUGCCAGCCAGGCCGCGGU
rnacentral:rRNA from 1 species